CGGAACGUGCCGAGUAAUGGGGGAUAACGCACGAAAGUUGUGCUAAUACCGCAUACGCCCUGAGGGGGAAAGUGGGGGAUCGCAAGACCUCACGUUAUUCGAGCGGCCGACGUCUGAUUAGCUAGUUGGUGGGGUAAAGGCCUACCAAGGCGACGAUCAGUAGCGGGUCUGAGAGGAUGAUCCGCCACACUGGGACUGAGACACGGCCCAGACUCCUACGGGAGGCAGCAGUGGGGAAUUUUGGACAAUGGGGGCAACCCUGAUCCAGCCAUUCCGCGUGAGUGAAGAAGGCCUUCGGGUUGUAAAGCUCUUUCAGCUGGAGUGAAACGGUGCGCUCUAACAUAGCGCGCUAAUGACGGUACCAGCAGAAGAAGCACCGGCUAACUACGUGCCAGCAGCCGCGGUAAUACGUAGGGUGCG
rnacentral:rRNA from 1 species